GCGGGCGUAGCUCAACUGGAUAGAGCAUCAGUCUUCGGAACUGAGGGUCGGGGGUUCGAGUCCCUCCGCCCGCACCA
rnacentral:tRNA from 3 species